rnacentral:rRNA from 1 species
CCAAUAGCGUAUAUUAAAGUUGUUGCAGUUAAAAAGCUCGUAGUUGAAUUUCGGGAUCAGUACGCUGGUCGUGCCUUCGGUAUGCACUGGUUUCACUGAUUCCUCCCUUCUGAAGAACCGUAAUGCCAUUCAGUUGGUGUGGCGGGGAAUCCGGAUUGUUACUUUGAAAAAAUUAGAGUGUUUAAAGCAGGCUCGCGCUUGAAUACAUUAGCAUGGAAUAAUGAAAUAGGACGUUUGAUCCUAUUUUGUUGGUUUCUAGGAUCGACGUAAUGAUUAAUAGGGAUAGUUGGGGGCAUUAGUAUUCAAUUGUCAGAGGUGAAAUUCUUGGAUUUAUUGAAGACUAACUACUGCGAAAGCAUUUGCCAAGGAUGUUUUCAUUAAUCAAGAACGAAAGUUAGGGGAUCGAAGACGAUCAGAUACCGUCGUAGUCUUAACCAUAAACUAUGCCGACUAGGGAUCGGAUGAUGGUAAUUUUUUAAUGACUCAUUCGGCGCCUUACG